AGAGUUUGAUCCUGGCUCAGGACGAACGCUGGCGGCGUGCUUAACACAUGCAAGUCAAGGAGAAAUUACGAGCUUGCUCGUAAGAUUAAACUGGCGAACGGGUGAGUAACGCGUAGGCAACCUGCCUCUGUGAUCGGGAUAACAUCGAGAAAUCGUUGCUAAUACCGAAUGACAUUAGAUUGUCGCAUGACAGUUUAAUUAAAGAUGUCGUAAGUUAUCGCACAGAGAUGGGCCUGCGUUCCAUUAGUUAGAUGGUAGGGUAACGGCCUACCAUGGCAACGAUGGAUAGCUGGUCUGAGAGGGUGAUCAGCCACACUGGGACUGAGAUACGGCCCAGACUCCUACGGGAGGCAGCAGUGAGGAAUAUUGCGCAAUGGGGGAAACCCUGACGCAGCAACGCCGCGUGAGUGAUGAAGGCCUUCGGGUCGUAAAGCUCUGUCAAGUGGGAAGAAAAUGUAAAAUGUUAAUACCAUUUUUCACUGACGGUACCACUGAAGGAAGCACCGGCUAACUCCGUGCCAGCAGCCGCGGUAAUACGGAGGGUGCAGGCGUUAUUCGGAAUUAUUGGGCGUAAAGGGCGCGUAGGCGGCCUUUUAAGUCAGAUGUGAAAGCCCGGGGCUUAACCCCGGAAGUGCAUUUGAAACUAAAGGGCUUGAGUAUGGGAGAGGGAAGUGGAAUUCCUGGUGUAGCGGUGAAAUGCGUAGAUAUCAGGAGGAACACCGGUGGCGAAGGCGACUUCCUGGACCAAUACUGACGCUAAGGCGCGAAGGCGUGGGUAGCAAACAGGAUUAGAUACNCUGGUAGUCCACGCAGUAAACGGUGAACACUAGGUGUAGCGGGUAUUGACCCCUGCUGUGCCGCAGCUAACGCAUUAAGUGUUCCGCCUGGGGAGUACGGCCGCAAGGUUAAAACUCAAAGGAAUUGACGGGGGCCCGCACAAGCGGUGGAGCAUGUGGUUUAAUUCGACGCAACGCGAAGAACCUUACCUGGGCUUGACAUGUUAGUAGUAAGAGCCNGAAAGGGUGAUGACUCUGACUCUGUCGGAGAGCUAACACAGGUGCUGCAUGGCUGUCGUCAGCUCGUGCCGUGAGGUGUUGGGUUAAGUCCCGCAACGAGCGCAACCCUUAUCCUUUGUUGCUUCGAAGAAAUUCGGAGCUCUCUAAGGAAACUGCCAGCGAUGAGCUGGAGGAAGGUGGGGAUGACGUCAAGUCAGCAUGGCCCUUACGUCCAGGGCGACACACGUGCUACAAUGGCCGCUACAGAGGGUAGCGAUACCGUGAGGUGGAGCCAAUCCCUAAAAGCGGUCUCAGUUGGGAUCGGAGUCUGCAACUCGACUCCGUGAACGCGGAAUCGCUAGUAAUCGUGGAUCAGCCAUGCCACGGUGAAUACGUUCCCGGGCCUUGUACACACCGCCCGUCACACCACGAAAGCCUGUUGUACCCGAAGCUGGUGAGCCAACCCCAAACGUUUGUAUCCAAAGUGAGUGUGGGGAGGCAGCUAACUAAGGUAUGACCGGUGAUUGGGGUGAAGUCGUAACAAGGUA
rnacentral:rRNA from 1 species